AUUGAACGCUGGCGGCAUGCCUUACACAUGCAAGUCGAACGGCAGCACGGGUGCUUGCACCUGGCGGCGAGUGGCGAACGGGUGAGUAAUACAUCGGAACAUGUCCUGUAGUGGGGGAUAGCCCGGCGAAAGCCGGAUUAAUACCGCAUACGAUCUACGGAUGAAAGCGGGGGACCUUCGGGCCUCGCGCUAUAGGGUUGGCCGAUGGCUGAUUAGCUAGUUGGUGGGGUAAAGGCCUACCAAGGCGACGAUCAGUAGCUGGUCUGAGAGGACGACCAGCCACACUGGGACUGAGACACGGCCCAGACUCCUACGGGAGGCAGCAGUGGGGAAUUUUGGACAAUGGGCGAAAGCCUGAUCCAGCAAUGCCGCGUGUGUGAAGAAGGCCUUCGGGUUGUAAAGCACUUUUGUCCGGAAAGAAAUCCUUGGCCCUAAUACGGUCGGGGGAUGACGGUACCGGAAGAAUAAGCACCAGCUAACUACGUG
rnacentral:rRNA from 1 species